rnacentral:rRNA from 1 species
CGUAGGGGGCGAGCGUUGUCCGGAGUUACUGGGCGUAAAGCGUCCGCAGGCGGUUCCGUCAGUUCGAGGUGACAGGGCGCGGCUUCACCGCGCCAGGCUCUUGAAGACGGCGGAACUUGAGGGCUUGAGAGGGACCUGGAAUUCCGGGUGGAGUGGUGAAAUGCGUAGAGAUCCGGAGGAACACCAAAGGCGCAGGCAAGGUCCUGGCAAGCAACUGACGCUCAUGGACGAAAGCCAGGGGAGCGAACGGGAUUAGAUACCCCGGUAGUCCUGGCCGUAAACGAUGACCACUCGAUGUGGGAGGUAUCGACCCCUUCGUGUCCAAGCUAACGCGCUAAGUGGUCCGCCUGGGGAGUACGGUCGCAAGAUUA